rnacentral:rRNA from 1 species
AUGAAGGGGGACCUCUCCGACCCCCGCGGCUUCCUCCACUCCUGGAAAGCCACCGACCUCGGCGGCGCCUGCUCGGGCGCGUGGACGGGGAUCAAGUGCGUCAACGGCAACGUCGCCACCAUCACGCUCCCAUGGCACGGGCUGGCAGGCACCCUCUCCGCGCCGUGGCUCGGCCAGCUCACCCGGCUCCGCCGCCUCAGCCUCCACGACAACGCCAUCGUCGGGGCCUUCCCGAGCUCGCUCGGCUUCCUCCCCGACCUCCACGGCCUCUACCUCUUCAACAACCGCUUCUCCGGCACCGUCCCUCCGGAGAUCGAUUGCUGCCUCAUGCUGCAGUCCUUCGAUGCCAGCAGUAAUCUCCUCACCGGUGUCCUCCCAGGUUCGAUUGCCAACUCCACGAAGCUCAUCCGCCUCAACCUCAGCUGCAACGCCAUCUCCGGCAAGGUCCCCGCGGAGGUCGUCGGCUCCUCGUCGCUCCUCUUCCUCGACCUCUCGUACAAAAAGCUAUCUGGCCACAUCCCUGACUCUUUCGGGGGCGGAUCCAAGGCUCCGUCCUCGUCCUCGUGGAAAGAAGCCGUCACCGGGAGCUACCAGCUCAUCUUCCUCAGCCUCGCACACAACUCGCUUGACGGGCCGGUGCCGGAGUCGCUCGGCGGGCUCAGCAAGCUGCAGGAGCUGGACCUAGCCGGCAACAACCUCAAUGGCUCCAUCCCCCCCCAGCUAGGAUCGCUUCACAACCUCAGGACGCUCGACCUGAGCAACGAGCUCACCGGAGAUAUCUCGGAGAGCCUCGCAAACCUCACCACGACGCUCUUGUCCUUCAAUGUCUCCUACAAUAACCUCGCGCGGCCAGCCUCGCUCGCCCAGAAGUUUGGGCACACCUCCUUCGCCGGCAACAUACUGCUCUGUGGGUACUUUGCUUCCUCGCCGCCAUGUCCCGUGUCCACGUCUCCGGCGCCGGCGUCAACCUCGCAGGGGACAACCGGGUGCCACGGCCUCCGCAAGUUCAGCUCCAAGGAGCUCGUACUGAUCAUCGCCGGGAUUGUGAUCGGCGUCCUCAUCUUGCUAUCGCUCUGCUGCCUCUUGCUCUGCUUAUUGACAAGGAAGAAGAAGUCCAGCACUGGCACCAAAGCACAGAGCGGGAAGCAGUUGUCAAGCAAGGACGCCACCGGCGCCGGCGCCGCUGCAGCUGCCGGGCAAGGCGAGAAGCUGGGGGCGUCCAAGGCGGAGUCCGGCGGCAACGUGGGCGUCAAGUUGGUGCACUUCAACGGGCCGCUGGUGUUCACGGCCGACGACCUGCUGUGCACCACCGCGGAGAUCAUGGGGAAGAGCACGUACGACACAGUGUACAAGGCGACACUGGAGGAUGGUAGCCUGCUGGCCGUGAAGCGGCUGCGGGAGAAGAUCACCAAGGGGCAGAAGGAGUUCGAGGCCGAGGCGGCAGCUCUCGGCAAGGUCCGGCAUCCCAACCUGCUCUCGCUCAGAGCCUACAACCUCGGUCCCAAGGGGGAGAAGCUGCUAGUCAUCGAUUACAUUCCCAAGGGCAGCCUCUCCGCCUUCUUACACACUCGAGCUCCCAACACGCCGGUGGACUGGAUGACGCGGAUGGCGAUUGCCAAGGGGACGGCCCACGGGCUCGCCUAA